rnacentral:sRNA from 1 species
UGCCAUAUCAAGUUUAAUCCUCCUACUACAGACUUUACAUACGCUCAGAAUAAUAUAUGGACUCUCCUGGGUAUUGGAUUAGCAUUCCUGAUGAUUCAUAUCACAGUUGCAGUCUUGUGUUUUCUUGCAAACAGGAAAGUACCAAUAAGAGGAGAAAUGUGAUGCUCAGAGGAUGUGGCUGACAAACUUCAGGACACAGGUAAUAAAUAAAAUCUAGAUCUCGGGUUCUUUCAGUUAAAACUAGAAACAUAGGAAACAAAAACAGAAGUCACAACAAUUUAACAGUUAUUUAGAGGUGUCAGUGAUUUGGGAUUUAAAAAUGUGGAAUUUAACAUUUCUGGUUUCAAAGCAAUACACGGCUUCUAUAUGACACUAGAAUAAGUAAAAAAAAAGAUAAUUUAUCUGAUGUA